ncrna:unclassified sequences drum RNA
AAUCUUUGAAGUGUACGCCGGGUUAGGAACCGGUUUACAUGGAGAUUUACAAAGGUGCGAGGAUUUACCAUAGCCUAACUAGGAACUAUGUUCUGAAAGAAAGUCCUUGAAU